UGUAGUCUGCAACCCGACUACAUGAAGCCGGAAUCGCUAGUAAUCGCGGAUCAGAAUGCCGCGGUGAAUACGUUCCCGGGUCUUGUACACACCGCCCGUCACACCAUGGGAGUCGGAAAUGCCCGAAGCCGGUGACCCAACCCGAAAGGGAGGGAGCCGUCGAAGGCAGGUCGGAUGACUGGGGUGAAGUCGUAACAAGGUAUC
rnacentral:rRNA from 1 species